rnacentral:rRNA from 1 species
GACGAACGCUGGCGGCGUGCUUAACACAUGCAAGUCGAACGGUAAGGCCCUUCGGGGUACACGAGUGGCGAACGGGUGAGUAACACGUGGGUGAUCUGCCCUGCACUUCGGGAUAAGCCUGGGAAACUGGGUCUAAUACCGGAUAGGACCACUGCCUACAUGGGUGGUGGUGGAAAGCUUUUGCGGUGUGGGAUGGGCCCGCGGCCUAUCAGCUUGUUGGUGGGGUGAUGGCCUACCAAGGCGACGACGGGUAGCCGGCCUGAGAGGGUGACCGGCCACACUGGGACUGAGAUACGGCCCAGACUCCUACGGGAGGCAGCAGUGGGGAAUAUUGCACAAUGGGCGCAAGCCUGAUGCAGCGACGCCGCGUGAGGGAUGACGGCCUUCGGGUUGUAAACUGCUUUUUUUGGGGACGAAUUUCGUGACGGUACCCAAAGAAUAAGAGGUUACUAACUCUGUGCCAGCAGCCGCAGUAA